AUUAUGAGUUCCUGGAGAAGGAGAUUAAUCGAAUAAAUUAACAGAGCAGAGGCGGAUCUAACUUUUCGCAAAAGGGGGGUUUGGCUCAGUGAAAGGGGGUAAUUUUUUUGUAACAUAUGGCUUUCUGGCAGCCCAAAAGGGGGGAUUAAACCAGAGGGGGUUCGGAAGCGCUCCCCGGAGCGCUGUGUCACUCCGACUGCUGGGAGCUGCGAAGGAGACUACUGUGUAGAGAGAUAAGGCGUUCUCCCAGAACCCUGUGGCCUCUUGGCCGAGCAGAGUCUGGGACUGCUGUUGGUCAGCCCACGUGCACCAGGUCUAGUGUCUGUCACAAACAUCGCUGUCGUCGUGAGGCAAGACCAGAGAGCAGGAGUUACCAAACGAAAUGCAUCAGCUCGGAUUCGAAUCUGAUAUUUGGGAGCGCUGAAGUGAAGGCGAGGCAGCAUCGGUUUAUGUUCGACCUAUCGUUCUUGUUUCAGAUCUCUUACCCUGUCCCAUGCUCUCUACUCCAUUUACCUUGGUUUAUAUAAAACGCAUACCAUUUAUACAUAAUUUACUUUUUGUGGACGUGCUGCUUUACACACAUUUUACCGUAGUAUGGAAUAUUAUUGUUAAGCCUUAAACUACUGUGGUUUAUCUUAUAUUGCUGAAACUCCUUCUCUUAGUUGAAACUUCUACUCUAAGUUAUAGUAUUUGCUUCAGUAGACCCUUUGUCCUGUUAUCAGCUGCACAAAAGAUCCGCCAUGCGCUUAUCUUGUACGCAGUGGCUAAAUAAGGGGUAGCCGCUCAAGGUCUUUUGUGAGCUAAAUGAGCGGUAGCUUUUAUUAUUUUUGAAUAACGCGAGAAAAUGCUACCUAGACGAACAAAUGACCUUCUAUCUCUAUUUAGAUAGAGGAAACAUUUAUCGAUGUAUUGAUGUCUUUGAAAUAAAAAGAAUUCCCCUUGCCUGUGUACAAUAGGACAACGCUACUUUGGAUGGCACUUUAAAAAUGUGUUAUGCAUAUUUGAGUACAGCAUUCCCAUAGAAAGAAGUUUCGCUUUACACGCUCUUGCUCAAGGUCUUGAAAAUGACCCAUAGUUUGUUAUUCUCUUAAAAAUUAUUUAAGGUGGUAUUAUACAAAAAAAUAUAUAUUUCAAUAAAAAAGCACAACCACAAAUACUUUAUUGCAUGUUAUAGAGACAACAACACUGACAAAAAAUUGUGAUAUUGGGUCAAAUAUUUUCAUAGUUAAUAAUAAACUCGACCUGAAGGAGAAAAAAAGAGGUGGUUAUUGUAGGCCAGAUAACAGAUUAACUUCUAGUAACAGAUGUACACAACUUGUUUUAAACUACUUCUAAAUAGUUUAUUGAGGACUUUUUGGUUAUAAUUAAAAAAAUAUUAAAAAAUAGGAUCUACAA